GGGCCCGCACAAGCGGAGGAACAUGUGGUUUAAUUCGAUGAUACGCGAGGAACCUUACCCGGGCUUGAAAUGCAGAGGAAUAUAGAUGAAAGUUUAUAGCCAGCAAUGGUCUCUGUGUAGGUGCUGCAUGGUUGUCGUCAGCUCGUGCCGUGAGGUGUCGGCUUAAGUGCCAUAACGAGCGCAACCCCUAUCGUUAGUUACUAGCAGGUCAAGCUGAGGACUCUAACGAGACUGCCACCGUAAGGUGCGAGGAAGGUGGGGAUGACGUCAAAUCAGCACGGCCCUUACGUCCGGGGCGACACACGUGUUACAAUGGGUGGUACAGAGGGCAGCUACCGGGCGACCGGAUGCCAAUCUUUCAAAGCCACUCUCAGUUCGGAUCGGAGUCUGCAACUCGACUCCGUGAAGCUGGAUUCGCUAGUAAUCGCGCAUCAGCCAUGGCG
rnacentral:rRNA from 1 species